GCUCACUUCCUGCUCAAAAAGAAUUCACGUCCUCUUUGACACCAAGCACGUACUUUACCGUGAACAGCCUCCUCGUGGUGGGGCCCCAGGCAGAUCUUCAAACGGCUCUGCUGAGAGAAGGCUGUCAGCUUAAUGGGCUGAAGGGCUCCUCCAUGAAGAAGCCAGUGGUCACUGGAGAAAUCCCCGUCCUUCCCCCUCCAGCAGAGGUGGCCCAGGCAGACCUAUGGCGGAGGGAGGCGGGUCCCUGGCAAUGGAUGCCACACGCGGUGCGGUGCGGCCCAGGCGGCCUCGUGAGUAGGGCUGUGUUGACCAGGCUGGGCAGCUGCCCCCCCAGAGUGGACAGCCUGGGGUCAGAGGGGCCACGCCAGACCAUCGCCCCAUCCCUCGCUCAGUUGUGGGACAGCUGUGACCAGAGAGACCCCACACACAGCCUGGGGCUGUGUCUGUUCAGAAAUUGGCGGUGGACAAACCGAACCCCUGCCUUGAGAGCCCUCCCACCACCAGAGCCCCUAGACUCACUCCUGCAGGAAAACCACACACAGCGCUCCCAUCAGCCCUCCCUGGAGGGGACUCUCAGCAUGCACACCGCCAUCGGUGUCCUCGCAGGAGAGGAAGGGCCUACUCCCUGCCUCCGAUCACCUUCCUCGGGACCCGCGGGAGCCAGGAGGGGCCGUGGCCAGCACUCCCGUGUGACAGGCGCAGAAACUAAGGCACAGACGUUAGGAAACUGGCCCAAUACCGUCCGCUAAUCAGUAACAAAGCACAAAAACCCAGUGCGCUUCCCUGGCAACCAUGUUGGAGUGUGGCCGUGCCCAGUCCUUGUGUGUGCCCACGGGUUCUGGCUGGCGUGCCCCGCAAGGACAGCUGCUGGGGUUACUUGGGACUGUCCUGUGGCGGCACUCAGCGGUGCCUGUGCACCAGGGAGAGCAAGCUGGAAGACAGAGGAAGGGGGCUGCGGGUCCCAGAGCGUGCGAGGGCCAGGUCAGCUCCCGAGAGACCUCACCGGGGCCGGAUCCCGGGGAGGAGCCGGGCGGCUACGCCACAAUAGCUACUCUUGGACUGCUGUCGACAACAUGCUUCUGGAAAGUGUUGCUGGCGAGUCAAACUCUCCUAGAAGGUGAGCUGUUACAGAAAUAUGUUCACAUAUCAAGAGUUUGAAAAGGUUGCUUUUAAUGCUUAUUGGUACCGCUGCGUUAAAAAGUAACUACAAUCGUCUCAUUAAAGUUUCCACGUUAAAUGCA